CGUAUCUGCAUAGCAGUUACAAGUGUCAAGGCUAAUGGCAGAGUGUAUCGACAUCCAGUGUGACGCUGAUUUCUUGUCAUCUUUAAACUUGCAAGUUACAAGGUAAAGCGGUGGAGGGCACAGAGUACGAAUCAAAGGAUUUGCGGCUCUCUUCCCCAAAGGGUGUGCCUGAAGUUGCAGGUAAAAGAUAAAACCCACACCCACCACCAUUCUCAGAAAUUGCAGUCCCUAAACAUGGUUUCUCAAGCAAACUCCGUAUUCUAUACUCUAUACUCUACACUGUACAUGCCGAUCCUCAAAUAGAAUCCUCCCUGGGAACUGUAUAUUCGUGCUCGUUCCAAUAUUCAAGAGAAAGGGACUUGGCGUGUGAAAUGGGAACUGUUCAAACCCAACCCUACUAAGUACGCAUAAACAUAAACGCAAGGGAGACAAAAUGAAAGUAUGAAAUGAAAGAAAAACGAACAAUUGCUAAAAUAACCCAUGCCAUCACCGCCUGUGAUUUUCUUGCAUGUCUAGUUUUAUGGUAGAGGAAAGAAAAGCUCCCCUAUAUCGUUUGGUAUUUGUUUUGGGUUUUGGGUAUUUGUUCUUUGUAUUGUUUCUCACUUCGUUUCUCUUUUCUUGCUCUGUUCUAUGCUUCUGCUGCUUUAGAAGAGUUGUACUAGUGUAAUGCUUUUUAGCACAGAUGGAGAUCUUGGUUUUCUGCUGGCUCAUGAAAUGAGGUGGAGGUCCUUCCUUUCCUUUCCAGUUGAAGUCCUCUACCUUUCUAUCCUUCUAGACUGGCUGCAAUACUCUUUUUGCCUUACGCGUUCAAUCUUCCACAGAGACACGCGCGAGCACACGGAGAGAGAGAGAGAGAGAG
rnacentral:misc_RNA from 1 species